CCUACGGGAGGCAGCAGUGAGGAAUAUUGGUCAAUGGACGAGAGUCUGAACCAGCCAAGUAGCGUGAAGGAUGACUGCCCUAUGGGUUGUAAACUUCUUUUAUAUGGGAAUAAAAUGUUCCACGUGUGGGAUUUUGUAUGUACCAUAUGAAUAAGGAUCGGCUAACUCCGUGCCAGCAGCCGCGGUAAUACGGAGGAUCCGAGCGUUAUCCGGAUUUAUUGGGUUUAAAGGGAGCGUAGGUGGAUUGUUAAGUCAGUUGUGAAAGUUUGCGGCUCAACCGUAAAAUUGCAGUUGAAACUGGCAGUCUUGAGUACAGGAGAGGUGGGCGGAAUUCGGGGUGUAGCGGUGAAAUGCUUAGAUAUCACGAAGAACUCCGAUGGCGAAGGCAGUUCACUGGACUGCAACUGACACUGAGGCUCGAAAGUGUGGGUAUCAAACAGGAUUAGAUACCCGUGUAGUC
rnacentral:rRNA from 1 species